rnacentral:rRNA from 1 species
CCUGGCGGCGAUAGCGCGGUGGUCCCACCUGACCCCAUGCCGAACUCAGAAGUGAAACGCCGUAGCGCCGAUGGUAGUGUGGGGUCUCCCCAUGCGAGAGUAGGGAACUGCCAGGA